UCCAUUGAUGUCAUGUGGAUACCUCCAAAACAACCUGGAUUCAUGACUAGCUAACAAGCAGACCACAGUUUGUGAGACUGAAAGGUUGUGUGUCUGAGAUGGUGG